UACGUAGGGAGCAAGCGUUGUUCGGAUUUACUGGGCGUAAAGGGCGCGUAGGCGGCAGAUCAAGUCAGCUGUGAAAUCUCCGAGCUUAACUCGGAACUGUCAGCUGAUACUGUUUUGCUAGAGUGCGGAAGGGGCAAUCGGAAUUCUUGGUGUAGCGGUGAAAUGCGUAGAUAUCGUAAGGAAGACCAGUGGCGAAGGCGGGUCUCUGGACAGUUCCUGACGCUGAGGCACGAAGGUCAGGGGAGCAAACGGG
rnacentral:rRNA from 1 species